rfam:Triticum aestivum genome assembly, contig: Triticum_aestivum_CS42_TGACv1_scaffold_433041_5DL
AUACUACUUCCUCCGUCUUAAAAUUCUUGUCUUAGAUUUGUCUAGAUACAGAUGUAUCUAAUACUAAAAUGUGAUUUGAUACAUUCAUAUUUAGACAAAUUUAAGACAAGAAUUUUGAGACGGAGGGAGUACAGU